rnacentral:tRNA from 1 species
GGAUUGUAGCUUAGUGGUAGAGUGCUCACCUAGCACACGUGAGGCACUGGGUUUGAACCUCAGCACCA